rnacentral:misc_RNA from 1 species
GAAAUGCGAUAAGUAAUGUGAAUUGCAGAAUUCCGUGAAUCAUCGAAUCUUUGAACGCACAUUGCGCCCCCUGGUAUUCCGGGGGGCAUGCCUGUCCGAGCGUCAUUGCUGCCCUCAAGCACGGCUUGUGUGUUGGGCUUCCGUCCCUGGCAACGGGGACGGGCCCAAAAGGCAGUGGCGGCACCAUGUCUGGUCCUCGAGCGUAUGGGGCUUUGUCACCCGCUCCCGUAGGUCCAGCUGGCAGCUAGCCUCGCAACCAAUCUUUUUAACCAGGUUGAUCUCGGAUCAGGUAGGGAUACCCGCUGAACUUAAGC